AGAGUUUGAUCCUGGCUCAGGACGAACGCUGGCGGCGUGCCUAAUACAUGCAAGUAGAACGCUGAAGAGAGGAGCUUGCUCUUCUUGGAUGAGUUGCGAACGGGUGAGUAACGCGUAGGUAACCUGCCUUGUAGCGGGGGAUAACUAUUGGAAACGAUAGCUAAUACCGCAUAACAAUGGAUGACACAUGUCAUUUAUUUGAAAGGGGCAAUUGCUCCACUACAAGAUGGACCUGCGUUGUAUUAGCUAGUAGGUGAGGUAAUGGCUCACCUAGGCGACGAUACAUAGCCGACCUGAGAGGGUGAUCGGCCACACUGGGACUGAGACACGGCCCAGACUCCUACGGGAGGCAGCAGUAGGGAAUCUUCGGCAAUGGGGGCAACCCUGACCGAGCAACGCCGCGUGAGUGAAGAAGGUUUUCGGAUCGUAAAGCUCUGUUGUAAGUCAAGAACGGGUGUGAGAGUGGAAAGUUCACACUGUGACGGUAGCUUACCAGAAAGGGACGGCUAACUACGUGCCAGCAGCCGCGGUAAUACGUAGGUCCCGAGCGUUGUCCGGAUUUAUUGGGCGUAAAGCGAGCGCAGGCGGUUUGAUAAGUCUGAAGUUAAAGGCUGUGGCUCAACCAUAGUUCGCUUUGGAAACUGUCAAACUUGAGUGCAGAAGGGGAGAGUGGAAUUCCAUGUGUAGCGGUGAAAUGCGUAGAUAUAUGGAGGAACACCGGUGGCGAAAGCGGCUCUCUGGUCUGUAACUGACGCUGAGGCUCGAAAGCGUGGGGAGCGAACAGGAUUAGAUACCCUGGUAGUCCACGCCGUAAACGAUGAGUGCUAGGUGUUGGAUCCUUUCCGGGAUUCAGUGCCGCAGCUAACGCAUUAAGCACUCCGCCUGGGGAGUACGACCGCAAGGUUGAAACUCAAAGGAAUUGACGGGGGCCCGCACAAGCGGUGGAGCAUGUGGUUUAAUUCGAAGCAACGCGAAGAACCUUACCAGGUCUUGACAUCCCGAUGCUAUUUCUAGAGAUAGAAAGUUACUUCGGUACAUCGGUGACAGGUGGUGCAUGGUUGUCGUCAGCUCGUGUCGUGAGAUGUUGGGUUAAGUCCCGCAACGAGCGCAACCCCUAUUGUUAGUUGCCAUCAUUCAGUUGGGCACUCUAGCGAGACUGCCGGUAAUAAACCGGAGGAAGGUGGGGAUGACGUCAAAUCAUCAUGCCCCUUAUGACCUGGGCUACACACGUGCUACAAUGGUUGGUACAACGAGUUGCGAGUCGGUGACGGCAAGCUAAUCUCUUAAAGCCAAUCUCAGUUCGGAUUGUAGGCUGCAACUCGCCUACAUGAAGUCGGAAUCGCUAGUAAUCGCGGAUCAGCACGCCGCGGUGAAUACGUUCCCGGGCCUUGUACACACCGCCCGUCACACCACGAGAGUUUGUAACACCCGAAGUCGGUGAGGUAACCUUUUGGAGCCAGCCGCCUAAGGUGGGAUAGAUGAUUGGGGUGAAGUCGUAACAAGGUAGCCGUAUCGGAAGGUGCGGCUG
rnacentral:rRNA from 1 species